CAGCAGCCACGGUAAUACGGAGGGUGCGAGCGUUAAUCGGAAUAACUGGGCGUAAAGGGCACGCAGGCGGACUUUUAAGUGAGGUGUGAAAUCCCCGGGCUUAACCUGGGAAUUGCAUUUCAGACUGGGGGUCUAGAGUACUUUAGGGAGGGGCAGAAUUCCACGUGUAGCGGUGAAAUGCGUAGAGAUGUGGAGGAAUACCGAAGGCGAAGGCAGCCCCUUGGGAAUGUACUGACGCUCAUGUGCGAAAGCGUGGGGAGCAAACAGGAUUAGAUACCCCCGUAGUCCCUGUCUCUUAUAC
rnacentral:rRNA from 1 species